GUGCUUGCUUCGGCAGCACAUAUACUAAAUUGGAACAAUACAGAGAAGAUUAAUUAGCAUAGCCUCUGUGUAAGGAUAACAUACAAAUUCGUGAAGUAUUCCAUGAUUUU
ensembl:snRNA U6 U6 spliceosomal RNA